rnacentral:rRNA from 1 species
UACAGAGGGGGCAAGCGUUAUUCGGAAUUAUUGGGCGUAAAGGGCGCGUAGGCGGCUUGGCACGUGGAUGGUGAAAUCCCUCGGCUUAACCGAGGAACUGCCGUCCAAACUGCUUCGCUUGAGACCGGGAGAGGUGAGUGGAAUUCCCAGUGUAGCGGUGAAAUGCGUAGAUAUUGGGAGGAACACCAGUGGCGAAGGCGGCUCACUGGACCGGUACUGACGCUGAUGCGCGAAAGCGUGGGGAGCAAACGGG